CGUGAACCUUUACUAUAGCUUGACACUGAACAUUGAGCCUUGAUGUGUAGGAUAGGUGGGAGGCUUUGAAGCGUGGACGCCAGUCUGCGUGGAGCCGACCUUGAAAUACCACCCUUUAAUGUUUGAUGUUCUAACGUGGACCCGUGAUCCGGGUUGCGGACAGUGUCUGGUGGGUAGUUUGACUGGGGCGGUCUCCUCCUAAAGAGUAACGGAGGAGCACGAAGGUUGGCUAAUCCUGGUCGGACAUCAGGAGGUUAGUGCAAUGGCAUAAGCCAGCUUGACUGCGAGCGUGACGGCGCGAGCAGGUGCGAAAGCAGGUCAUAGUGAUCCGGUGGUUCUGAAUGGAAGGGCCAUCGCUCAACGGAUAAAAGGUACUCCGGGGAUAACAGGCUGAUACCGCCCAAGAGUUCAUAUCGACGGCGGUGUUUGGCACCUCGAUGUCGGCUCAUCACAUCCUGGGGCUGAAGUAGGUCCCAAGGGUAUGGCUGUUCGCCAUUUAAAGUGGUACGCGAGCUGGGUUUAGAACGUCGUGAGACAGUUCGGUCCCUAUCUGCCGUGGGCGCUGGAGAACUGAGGGGGGCUGCUCCUAGUACGAGAGGACCGGAGUGGACGCAUCACUGGUGUUCGGGUUGUCAUGCCAAUGGCACUGCCCGGUAGCUAAAUGCGGAAGAGAUAAGUGCUGAAAGCAUCUAAGCACGAAACUUGCCCCGA
rnacentral:rRNA from 1 species